GUUGCUUUCCGUACGCCGCGCAGCAUUCCGGAUCUUGUCCGGGUCUUCCUGCUUCCGGUUCUGGCCGAUUAUUGAAGCGAUACCGGCCCAGAAUUUUUAUCAUACACGAUCAGUCAAGUUCAGGUAUCUGGUUCAGACGCGCACUUGAUAAAGUGUCGCAAAAGAAAUCUCGAGAGAAAACUGUCUACAAAUAGGGUAGAUCGAUAGAUACGCACUAGUGUACAAGAAAGAGACGCACGAAUUUCUUUAAAAGCCUUGAAUCUUGUGUCUAGAGGAUCUAUCCAUGAGAGCACACGAGCUUCCAGUUGAGUUGCAACCGGGAAACGCCAGUCUGGCUCAGUCCGGAAGUCGCGCGUCGCGGACGAUGAUGCGACGAUGAGCCGGGAAACGAAGAGAGAGAGAAGAGGAGAAACAGAGAGGCUCAUUGUCUAUGAAUUCCUGGUGUCCUUCCGCCUGGGCGUAUCACUGCGACCGGAUUGACUGCCUACGUGCAGCAACUCUCGGUUGGACGGACGCGCUACGUCGUCUACGUCUACGUGCAGCAGCGGCGCGGCUACUUUCACGUAGCGCAACGCGUGCAACGACUCUAAAUUCCGUUCUCCGCUUGAUCCGAUAAGGCGCCUCCAACGUGUCGAGCGGCCGCGACGCGAUCUCCUGGCGGAGGCUGAGAGGAGCCACGCGAGACGCAGCGAGCUCGAAGAGCGAUUCGAGGCGCGAGCGUGCUCAGUUUCCGAUCGAUUAUUCACUAUUUAUGAGCACACGAGGGCUCGUGUUUGUCGCCGACGUCAGUCCUGAGAGUGCAUCGUGUUCCACAUACGCUGCAUAAUUGAAAAAAGAAAAAAAACUAGAAAUACUUUGUCCCUUCUCUUUUUCUUGGCGAGUGCUGCAACUAAAAUUACCGCUCCGUGCUAGAUAGACUGAAAAUCCUCGCACCGUCUUGCGAAUUGAAUACUACUUUCCAAAAAUAGCGUCUAUCUUUGUAAAAUCUAUUUCUGAAGCGUUUCAGGAGGGAUUCCUUUGUACCUUUCUUUGACGCCAUAAUUCUAUUAUUCAUGGGAAACUGAUAAGAUCACACGUGGUAUCCCCUUUCGAAGCUCAACGAUUUAAAUGCCACAAGGCGGCGGACUGCUUUCGCCGGCUUUUUAUACCGGAUAUGAUAACGGGAAUAUGAUAAAGAGCGCUCUUUCGACGGACGCCUUGACGCGGGUCGGCAAGUACGCCGACAAUUGGCUAACGCGAUAAAUGAGUAGAAUAAAACGAAUUGACCGUACGAUAGGUUAGGAACAUCAGCCGACCGACCGGCCCAGUCGUCGGUCAGGCCUUCAGCUUCCUGUGACGCAUCCGAUUGAGCCGGGCAAAGAGGAAUGAGACGCAGUAUGAGCGACGCGACUCGCCUGGUACCACCAGACACAGGCUCCACCGUUUCUUUCAUGCGGCUGGGACACGACCAGACACUCCGGUUAGAGAGUCCGACUAAUCCAAUCCGCAAAUCCGCCGAUCUCCGUCAAACGUAAAGUUAAACCACUUCCAGCAAAGCGAAAUCGACGCAAGACACUAUUUCCUAUUGUAAAAGGUUCAAUGGCAAUUAUCCAAAUAAUUUCUCAAGACAGUCAUGUGGCUGCUUGUGUCACCGUCAAGUUUCCAGAUGCUCCCUAGGAUCCAUGAUCGAAGGUUGCACUUGCGGUAGGUCUGAGACGUCCAGAUGUACACGUGCUCCGAUGCGCAAUAGCAUUGCCAGUGGAGAGAAUACAUUUCAUGUCGGUUAAUCAGGAAGCCCCGGGAGCAUCUCUCACGAGGCGUCGCCGAAUCACGUCGGCGCACGUUUUGAUCGAUUGUAGCCUGCGCGCCACAGUUACGUAAUACACCGGCCGCGUUCGUUUUACAAUAUACAACCGGCGGCCGCUUAAAGAGUCAACGACCCCUCGGCUUACUCCAGUGACCAUGCCGGAGAGAGAGAAAGAGAGAAAGCCGCGUGGAACACGCAAGGCACGAGAAAAAAGGAGUGCGUGUGUGCUCGACACCCCAUCGUGGACAAGUUAUCUCCCCCUCUCCCUCUUGUCGUUCGUCCGAUACUUUGGACGAGAUAUCUCUCUUCUCUCUUUCCCUCUUUUUUUUUACCGAUAUUGCAAUGGGGUGUACGAGGUUCGAUGUAUUCACUCGGAAAUACGACAUCGGAAGUGGGAAUGUAGGCUGCGUUAUCCGUUAUUACCGCGAUGCUCGACGGCAGAGUCUUUAAUCGGAGUCGGCUAAUUCGAAAUCAAUAUGUGUUUGCGCAAAAUGCCAAAGGUUCGCGCAAAGAUAUUUGCCUUUCUGUAAGAUACAUUUUACAUCAUGGAACGAUGAUCGAAGUCGAAUGAGAGGACUAAAUCCCGAAAAUGGGUUGUUCGGGAAUUUAUCCGAGGGACCGUGCCACUUGUACUUGAAGAAAGAAGUUACUCAACAGAGCAAGUACUUAUGUUUCGUCGGUUAAUACGUUGCAUUGAUCGACCAGAAGUUAUAUGUUCCCAUCGGCGCACGCUAUUGUCUCUCGUCGUCCACUCGCCUGCGAUUUCCGCGCACUCGUUGCAGUGGCGAGUCGUUGAAAAAUAAUGGAAAGGCAACCGAUACAUCGAACAGCCCUCCGGGUUACGAUCGUAACAAUUUUCUAUACAAGUAGACAGCUCGUCGCACGGCAAUAUCGAGCUCAACUCAACUCGCGCGCCCGUGCCUCGCAAUUUAACGAGAAGGGGGAAGAGCUCGCGAGCUCUGUUAAUAAAUCGCUUACAUCAUUCUCCAUUAUCUUGUAACAUCUUGUUCUCUGUUUUCUGAUAUCUCUGAUCAGCGUUUUCAUGUGCGAAUAAUCCGUAAAUAAUUCAAUUCGGCAAAUUGAAGUUGUAAAUGAAACAGAAUAAAGCGAUAAUAACAUGUAAUAAGCUAAUCAAAUUGCAUCAACUGUUUUUUUAAUGAAAUCACAAACAUCUCGUUAGUAGAGAUACUCGCAGCGGCACGUUUCACUCUGCGAGUGUAUCAGCAUGCAAAACUCGCGUAACAAUCUCCGCUGCGCAUUGUGACAACAGCGGUAGAUUAUUUCUGACAUUUCACCGAGGAUCUCGCGGUCCGAAAGAAAGGUAGAGGAAGCUCCUGAAAGGACCGGCCGUUAAUCAACGUCACUCCGUACGUACGUUAAGCAACUGCGAAUACGUCGGGACUGGCGCGGUAUCCGGCGAAUCUAAUCACGAACUUGACUCGAUAGGAAUACGGAAGGCUUUCGGGGUCAAGCUGAUGCUUUUGACGGCCGUUUUACACGGAUUCGCGCGGGCAACGAGCAAAAGGUCCCGCGAGAUGUACCGGGCGGAUAGAUGCGCGGGAGCUCGCGCGGAAAAGACCCGGUUAGAGAGAUACGAGACUGACCAACGUACGGAACGUUGAUGCAUAAUCGCGCAAGAGGGCAAGAGAGUGAGGGAUGCGCUUUUCUACGAGCGAAACGGGUUUCCUGUGGCGUAAUGCAUCACGCGCGCCGCGAUGAAAAUUUAUAUGUAACAUUUCUGCCACCGCGUUGCCAUCAACGCGCGCGCGCGGGUAACCAUUACGCUGCACACUGUUCAAAGUAAAUCCACCUGAACCAGACAAUUGCCGAAAUAAAUCGAGAACGCGCCCUAAUGAGAAAUAAACGAGAGACCGUUUAAUUAUAGCAACCACGCGACGCAAUUACAUGCGUGCACAUUGUUAAACAACAGAGGCGGCGACUGCAAUAGCUAUCUGAAUAUGGCUACUAUAUAUACGAUUAAUUAAUUAGGAGAUUAAUUAAUUAGCGUAUUGAUCAAUCGACAAACGAAAAACCUAUGCGCAGGAUUUGAAACGGAAGAAAUCGUUCAUUCGACAUGACAUUAUUCAGAACGACAGACAGCCGUGAUUGUUGUACACUCGUAUGUGCAGUCGCGAGACGCGAGACGAACGAACGAUCUGUGUAGCGGGCGAUAGACCGCCGAUAGAACGCGGCCUUCAGGAGGACGGAGUACUCGGCUCGCAUCAGGAGCAAAAAGUGAACUAGUUCGCCUUCUUGAAUUGGCCGAUACGAGAAAUGCCAAGGACGAUGCACUCCUCGGUCUUUCUGUUUACCCGAGCCGGGAUACGUGCGCGCCGAUCCGCGAAGCGGCACGGUUUCUCGAUACAUCAUUCUGCGCUCACUCGCUUCUGAUAAGCGAGAAUCUUUCGCGCCGUGCCGGGCGUCGAUCUUUCAACAUUUAUAACGAAGAGCACGACGCCACCGCAAUAAAUCCCCGUCGAAAAAUUCCGCGUGCCACCCAGAACGUGCGAUAAGAACGACGACGGAGAACGGCACGAUACUCACCGCGGAAAUGGAAAUCCUUUCGCCGAGAACGGGCGCGGCGUCUUAAAUCGCCAUCGGUCGCGGUCGACGGCUGUGGAAAAACGGCGCCCGUCGCGAGUGAAACUGCAUUCUUGUCAAGUACGUUCGCGCGGGAACGCGGCCGAUCGUUAUUUCUGCGCGGCAUUAAACCGCGCUGUACUUUCCCGCGAGGCUGAAUCAAAACCAAAGCGGUUUCGUGACGCCUUUGACGGCGCAGCUACGAAAAUUGUGCACAAACAGGAAAUUUUUGCAAAAUGGAAACAUGAUGUACUCUCGAAAGAAUGAGAACAAAUGCAUUUAUCUGAAAUAAAUUUGCGAGAUUGGCGUAAAACACGAAAAACCACUCUAUUUUUCUAUUUGUUUGGUAGUCCGGAGUGUUUCAAAGAUAUUCACUCGUGGAACUUGUUCCGGAUCAAACGCACGCAAGUCGCGCAACUCGUGUUUUACCGCGUUUAAAAAAAAUCACACGAGACUGAGUGCCCGACAGGCAAGAACGAGAUCGCCGGCGUACAAAGCCGCAGAUCCAUCGAGGGUUCUCUCAAUAGGAGAUGAACGAGCGCGAAUAGAAGCGGGAGCGAGCGAGAAAAUCGAGAAAGACAGGUACGAUUGCGCUACGAGGUGUUGCACAGAUUGCAUAGGUAUACAGUCAAGGUUUGCAAGAGAGGUAUGCGGAUCUGUGGGGUCCGAUAUAGGCAAAGCUUCAGCGAAUAGCACGUACGUGCCUCCGUUAACGCGAUACGUACACGUAGCUCUCGUGGUCGAUUUAACCGCAUUAACUACGCUACUGCGAGCGAACUCCGACACACUGUCCCUCCUAAUUCCGAAACCUUAAACGCAAAGCGAGGGCUAAACCGCCGGUGAAUUUUGGUGUACAAGGUCGAAGGCAUUCGUGGGAAUUGGCGAGUGUCACGAGUAUUAUUUAACUAAUGCAUCAACUUUCAUUUAAUCCUGGAGAACGUGUGUUUUUAAAACCAUUAAAAAAUAUUAAAACGUUUAAAUAUGAAAAUCUUGAUGAAUCUUGCUAUAUUAUAACAGUAACAAUAUAUUACAUAUUAAUGUAAGAAGUGUAAUGCUCACGCAGAGAGAGAGAGAGAGAGAGAGAUGACCUAAUGUGAUCAAUACUGUGAAAGUUGAUGUAAGAAAUCAAACUAGAUCUUCGAGAUAAUUGGUAGCAAUAUGAAGGUGACGUUUAGUCAAACGUUACAAUCACGCCACGAGGGUAUCAAUUUCCCGUUUUAGCUACUCCUCCGUGAGAUCGUGCGAUUCAAACCGAGGAAAUGGGAUGAUCGCAGCGGCACGUGCGAAAAUUACACGGCCCACGAAACGAAGUGUUGGUCUAAUUCUUUCAAUUACACCAUCGUCGCAGUCGACCGGCACGGCUCUCACUGCUCUCACGAUGUCGCCACGAAUGGUUAUUGUCAAGAGGUAACCGCCGCUACCGCAGCUCCGUAUUACCCCGGAGACUCUCUCACCUAACGCGAAAUGACGGGUUUACCGGGUUUAUGGCGCGCGUCCCGUUCAAGGUACAUUACCUUUUCGCCUGAAAGGUAAGAAGUCGUCUGAGAGAGAUUGCGCCCGAACAAAUCCCACUCGCCGUUUAUUAAUACAUUUCGCUCGAUCUUUUACACGACGCGACCUCGUGCAAUCGAUGAUACUGGACGUCAAGAAUCUGGAUGCGCAAUACUGCUCAUGACAUAUGUAUAUAUCGAAAUCAAUAUUUAAACGCGGUGGUGCAGCUCUAUCAAUUUUUCUCGACUCGCAAAUCAAACAAACCACGUUAAACGUAAAUCGUUUGGUGUGCAACUAAACUGCGGUAACCAUAAAUAAUUGCAUUUUAAAAUCACAUCGAUCAAAUAACGUGCAAAAUUAACAAGAGAUGCUUUAAAGGCGGAAGAAAAACUGGAAUGCUUCCCUUCCGCUUUGGCGUCCCGACUACAUCCACCGGCAAGAACGACGAAAAUGUUGUGAGAGGACUUAAACUGGAACACUGGGUCGAUCUGUCUACGAGCUACCGAGGGAUGCGAGAUAAUCCGCGCAGAAAGUUCGCACGACUCUUACGUCGCGGACGUACGCUCGCGCGCGAAAAACUCGACGAUCUAUUGCUCGGUGGUGGCGACGUUCGUCCUGCCGCCAAUUAGCAGUAGCUCGAGAGACGUAGAGCAAUAAGAAGAGACAAAAAACGGUGUGUGCCGCCGUAGCGGUGAAUAACGCUGUAAAUGGAGCUCGUUAAUUGGGGACCCCUGCGAGAAAGUGGGAACCGUGGUAGUAGCGCGUCGCCCUAUAAUUGUGAAAUCCCGAUCUGUCGCGCGCGCGCGAGAGACCGCGCGCUCGUCCGACAUCCUAUACCGCUGGGGCUGCGCACUCACCUUCAUACUUCGCUAAAUAGAGAUAAUUGCAAAAGCGUCCGGAGAACUGAUUUCUGCAGCUGAAGCAUUCGUUAUCAUCGUUUGUUACGUCAUCCUCAUAGUAAAAUUCAUUUAAAUAACGAUACGUUAACUAACGACAAGUGUAACAUUUAAUAUCGUGUUUUAAACUCGAUUGAAGAAUGCUUUUGUUUUAAAUUGAAUAACAAUGAUACAUUUUUAUUUUCACGGAAUACAGAUACACGCUACGUGCACUGCACGUGCAUAUUUCAACAUUGCUUUUCUCUCUCUCUUUCUCUCUUUUUCGCGUAUUUUACAAUAUUUCUUUUUUUCCUUUCAACAGGAUAAUGGAAACACCCCCAAAUCUAGCAAUAAUAAAUCAACUGAUGAAAAAAUUAUGUGGAGCAUUAUUGCGCGCGCACCGAGGUCCCUUUUUAAUUUCGCUCCUACAUCUACAUAUAAUAUAAUGAAAAGUUUCACGCAGUUCUCGGUGGACAAUAGCAAUGUCGCGAUUAAUUUGCAUUCGCUCACGGGACAGCGGACCUUCGAGCGUAUGCUGACCCAGAUGGAAUUAAUGCACAGCGUCGUGGAUCUCGAUCGUCCGAUCUCGAUUCACGGCGAGCAAAUUGCCGAGACAUUAAUCACAUGACCCGUGCCCUCCUCGCUUCGCCUUCCCGCGAUCGUUCUAAGUCGCGAUUCACAUCGACAACACACCUAUCUAGGUAACACGGCACUGGCGACGUCGUGCUGCUAUUGCGCGCGCGAUGUAUUUACGAGAUCGUAAUAACACAACACCCGAUCCAACAACGCGAAGACGAGGUGGACGAACUACGAUGCGAGACUAUACUCUCUUCAGGAACAAUGUAGCGCGCGCGCGUGGUGCCGCGCGAUCGAACAUAUCCGUUCGCGCCAGGCAAGGAUGAGUUCAUACAAUAGCGCUGCAAAAUUUCAAUUUGCAAUGUUUAUUUAUGUAUUUCUUGAAAUGUAUAAUAUCGACAAACGUUUGAAACAAUUCUACAAAUAAGUUUAUGCACUUUUCCUGUACAUCUCCUUAAAAGUGUAAACAUUCUGGAUAUCGCACGAUGGUCGGCUCAUGCGAUACGAAUGUGAAGACUUUGGAUACCGCGCGAUUCCAGAAUGAACCCUUCUUCCGGAAGAAGACUGCGAAGGCCAAGGAAAAAAUCGCUUAACAGCCCACGGUACCCAGGAAUCACGAGGGAUACAUGGACAGCUAUUUCCUGGGGCGCGCCCACCGGGAGAGACCGAUUAAGUGUCGACAUAUUUCACGGAAACGGGAACUGUCACGAAUACAUGGAUGUAGCACGGAAAGGAAGCGAUCAAGUGCGUGCAGAUUCGUAUUCUCGAAGAGGGUAAAGACGACGAUGGCUCUACCUUCCCGCACUUUUCUGUAGUUGUGGAACAUAAAAAAGUAGCACUGUUAAGCGCGGGUGAGAUGGUUAAUGGCCAUUACGGGGAGACUAUGUUUUUUUAAAAUCCGCGACUGAAACGCGAAUUGGCCAUCGACCCGCGCGCAAUUAAAUAUUAAACCAUUUGAUCGUUAGCAUUGCCGUUAACAUUUUACGCUUAAAAUCGUUUGUCCCGCGAGAGGGUAAUUUCCUACGUAAUUCUAUUUUAUUUGGCGAUUCGGGUCGCACAAAGUGAACGAUCAUACAUGCACCCGUAUUCCGCGUAAUACAGAUCCAUUUUAAACGCCAUAUUUUAUACGGCGUGUAUGAAAAAUAAAAUGGUCUCUUUAAUACUUUCAUCAUUAUUUCCUCUGUAUUCUGACGAGCAACUUUUCAAUUGCACGCACAACCCUCCCUGCGUUGUAUCCGGAUAUAUUUAUUUUUCGGUAAAAUAAUGUCUCAUCGCCGAGAAUGUACUUUAUAAAACAAUAUUAAAUUUAAUACAAUCUGUAAAAUAUUUAUAAAUAUGAAAAAAUAUAUAUAUCUCUGAAGCUUAUAAGUUUCAAGCUGUUACUAUAUAUAUCUUUAACUCCUCUUUCAUUAAUAUAUUUGAUUUUUGCUUCCAUUUUCUCUUUCGACUGUCGCAAUCAGUUGAUUUCAUUUUCAUUGAUUCGAUUACUCGGCGCAAUUGGACGAAAUUAAAUCGGAUUCCUACGUUGCAACGUUGCAACGUGCGAGAGAUCUUAAAGGGCGCGAAAUGCGAUGGACGGAUUACGGUGUUCUACGAGCUUCUUAAGGGUCGCUACUACUCUCCGGGAAAAUAUAAAGUCGCCAUUAUUCGUGGCGAACACAUUCCGCGGGCGAAUUUGAUUUCCUACGCUUCCUGGACUUUAUCGUUGCUCGCGUUACUUCUUUCCUACGUGGUUGCAAUAGAAAUCCCUCGUUCCUGGUCCGAUAUUGGACGAUGGCCAGACGAACCGGCUUAGAGCCAAAGUGAUGUCACACAAAGCGAGAAUGCAGUAGCGCGGUAAACAUUAUACUCGGCCGUUCAUCAAUUUGAUCACCGAGAUUUGUCUCAAAAAUACAGGUUUAUCAGCGAUUUCGGUCUGCAACUCUUCGAGUAACCUUGCAUCCUUUUCCGCCGAAGGUCCAUACAGCCGGUCCCAUAAAUCACGUGCCCCUCGAGCACUCGAGAAUUUUUCAUCCGAAAAGAAUUGCCACGCGAUGUUCCGUGCAUCGCGGAGAGCAAAUACUCAUCGCGUUGCAUUCGCCGCUGGAUCAGUCAAUUAUAAGGUGAUAAUAUCGUUUCAAUAACGUCUAUCCGCGGGUUAUUUAUUUCCAUCUCGAUAAUCUCGCUAUCGCAAUACGAGUCACGAUUAAUAACUUAAGUACCAAGAAGAGCCGGCGCUUUACUUUCUUGUUCUUUGCGUGCAAUUAUGCAGGUAAUUCACGGUUAGCCAAGACGAGCUACCGACGUCUCACGGACAAUUUAUAUGCAGAUGCUGGAAAUGUCGGGGUACAGCUUCGCAGAACAGAAAUUAAUAAAAACGUGACAUGGUAAUAAACAUGUAAUAAUCAGUUAUAAUAACUUUAGCCAAUCGAGUAUUUAUCAAACUGCAUAAAUGUCAUCCGAGAUUGACGUCGAUUUGUAAUUGAAAAGUCAGCUCGGCGUUUGUUCAAGACUUUAUAUAAUACAGAGCACUCUGUGUGCAAACGCGAAUUCGAGGAAAAGCACGAAGGCGUGCGAUCACGACCGCGGAAGUCCAGACGCGUUUUACGGCCACGAGGGAAACCGUUCACGUCGCUGCGACGACGUCGUGAAUUUUAGCACCUUUUUACCAGCGCGGCCCGGCUGGUAAAACGCACUUCCCUCUCGUUUUCACAUGUUCACGUGCAACAUAGCCGAGGACAGCCGCGUUCCCGCAUCGUCGACCGUUUCACUUAGCGCGCGUAUCUCCGGUGUUUAGCGCGGAUGGCGGCUCCACAGCUAGACGCUAAUAAGACACCUGCCGGCUGAUAACGCGAGGAGAAUCGUGAAACGAGCCGCCUUUCUCCCGGUCUCUUAUGAGUCGCCGAGAGAGUCCGCGACGACAACGACGACGACAACGACGAUGAGGACGAUGCAAAUUCCGCUCGCAGCCGCCUCCGGUGCAUCCUGCGGUAGUAUGCUGCGUUGGUCGCUCGCGGAAAAUAUUUCGGAUGCUCGACGGCUGAACGACCGACAUUCCUACGCGACGUUGUCGGGACCCUGCUGCUUCUCUCCCGACCGCCAUCCUUCCGCGACGAGGAAAAAUAUUUUUUGGGAGAAGGUAAUUUUCAACCUGGCUAUCGCGCGACGGCGCGAAAAAUUUGAAUUCCUCCUGUAACGAGCGGCUGCAGUGGAAAUUUACGUUAAUCCUGAGUCACGGCGUACCGCUUCCUUCCUCUCUCUCUCUUUUUCCCUUCGGCUGCGACUUUGCGCACGGUCACCGUAUCCGGGGGCUUACGUGCAUAUGUAUGUACAUAAGUACACCGAGAGUCGACGAUGCGACACAUACUUUGAGAUAAAUUACGCUCUUGCCUUCACCUAUGUAUAUAUUAGCUUGCCUUUGCUGUGGCGAUAUCGGUACAUCUCAUGUAUCGCUGAUUUAAAUGUAAGCGAUCUCUUCGGGUAGAACAGAUAAAAUUAAUCGAUCGUGGAAGGAAUAGAAUUCACCCAUUGAUACGAUCAUUACUUUCACGUUAUUUCACAAUCUUGAAAAUCUGCGGGCGAGAUUUUAAAUUCAAGAUAGACACCGCUAACGAGAGGUAGUAUCGGUAUUGAGCGGAGCCAACGAGGAAAAUCGACGAUCGGCCGAUCGAGCAGGUGCGUCGUCGGCGUCACUCUCGCGCAUCAUCGCGCGGAACGUCAUUGAGGAACGUGCAUGCCGACGGGGCGAGAUCACGCGUAUGCGAGAGCCGUGAGACCGGCUUACCUUGACGAGGUCCUUCCACUCUCGGGGCUCUGGAAUGCAACGAGCCUCGAGAAGGGGCAGAAGGAGAAGAGGACGAACAGGCAGCGGCAACUGGAGGAGAAGAAGAAGAAAGAAUGGAAGGAGCAAAAGGAGAAAUCAAGGCGAAAUCGUGGGGCCGCAGGAAUCGCGCGCGUAAGGCGAAAUGCAGAAAACGGAGAGGAGAGGCCACAGUGAGGACAUAAGAGCGAGAAAUUGGGUUAAAAGACGGUGCGGGGAAGAAGAGACGAAGCUACGAGCGUCGUACGAGUGCGUACGAGCAACCUGGAUUCCCAUUAUUAUCGUGAUCAUCGCAGUGUAGUAGUAGUAGUAGUUGUAGUAGUCGUUUUCGUUCUGUCUUCUCCAUCGUUCUCGUCCCGCGUCUCUCUGUUCCGGCAGGAAAUAGAACGCACUGGCCGGGCAUAUCGGCCCCCGAGGCAUCGUCUAACGAGAUCGUCCACCGUUAUGCUCGUCGUCUCCAAUCUUGUCGCGCUGAGUGACGUUCAGCCAUAAAACCGUCGUCCGUCUCUGUGUGCCUCUGCCGACGCGGCUCGAGAACACGGCUCGAUCCAGUUUCGAGAUUUUGAUGCAUUUUAACCGCCUGUAGGAACGACGUUUUCCGGUGUAGACAAACCCGCAUAAUACAGUUAUAAUACGGCGCGCAAUUAAUUGCAUGCGGGCGCAAUGCAUUCGCGUCUGAGCGGGAAUCAAGCAGGUGCGAUGUUAUCGUGCGCCGCAAUCAUGCCGGAAAUUUUUCUAACUUGUCUUAUCAGUCGCAUAAGGUUUCUAAUCUGACGUGAUGGUUCUCGCGCGCGCGAUCGUAAUACGAGCGAGACGCAUCAUCGUCGCUCGUUUCGCUCGUGGUGCGUCGAAAUAUCGAACAACGGGAAUCGAGAGGCAGGAAUCCGAGAGAACGCGUAAGAGGACGAUUUCUAGGAGAACAAUGGCCUCGAUGCGUCGGCACGUAAACCCGUAUACGCAAACGCCGCACACGGCGUGGCCAGGAGUAAUUGAGAUAUCGCGGUGACAUAACAAUGCACUGUGCGCGCAUGCAACUGGCACGCAUUAUCGCGAAUCUCGUCCAGACGUAACAUUCGAGCCGGUCGUGCGGUAGGUAUAUCGUUUGGUGGGGACGUGAGAGGGACGGGGACGAGGGUAUACGUGUGUACCGAGAUAGAAGCGUAUUUAACGUGCGAGACGUUCGCGUAUGCCGAUGCAAGCCGGACUCUCCCUCGGGCUCGGCAUCGAUAAGAUAUAUCUGUUGAAAGAAGACGAAACCCGAGACGGGACGCGCUGGGGAUACGUACAGCUUGAUAAACGAUUGAGCGAUAACGAUUGGGCCGAUUUGUCCGAGUAGAUGAAGCCGACGGAGAAAUUCGAUCGGGAGAAAACGGAGUGGAGUGGCGCCUCGCCGAAUGCGAGCUAUCGAGUAACAGACGCGUAACAGAACGCGCGCGGUAAAUAUUGUAUUAUCUAGACUCGAGAGGAAAAGAGUCAGAAAGAGAACAGAGGAAUGGACAUCUGAAUAUUUAUUUAUCAACGGCGAAGAGAGCGAAGGAAAAAUAUGCAACGGCUAAUUUACGAUGAUCCGAAAUAAUAUUACAAGCAGCGGCUCGCGAAUAACGCUAUCGCUUCUUCUGCAAUUUUUCGCCUUCAUUCUCACGAGUUUACUCGCGAGUGAUAUAAUACGCAUCUCUAUCGCGAAUUCCCGCCUACGCCCGAGGAUUACGCAGGAGGCAUCGCGCGUGACUCAACGUAUAAACGGCCGGCUAUUAAUUUCUUACGCAUUUAACCCCCGAGAGUAACCAUUCCAAGAUCGACGAUGGACGCGGCUUGCCGUAUACGCGUAUCCUGGACGCGUUUAAUGUGUGCGAAUAUGGCGAACGCACGGCGCGGCGCCCGUCCGCCUUCGUAUGGCCGCGAUCUGCCGUUGCAAUCGUGACGGCAAAGCCGAGCCAUCAACUACGGGAAGAAGAAAAGGAGAACGUCGAGGUGCACGGGAAACUUGGCCAAUGGUGUAUGCGCGAUCAGCUGAUGCACCAUGUCAAGCUGCCGCCACGCGGCAGAUCGAAAAACAGGAUCUACAAAACAGGAAAACGACGUUCGCGAGAAUUCCGCAAUCGUUCAGGAAACAUUAAAGAACAACCUUCUGUCUUAAAUCUGUUUUCUAUGUCUAUAUUUAGAAUGUCGGCAAAGGUUUGCCAAUUAAAACUACGACGCUUACUCUGAUGUUGCAGCGUAAAUAAUAAUUGCUGCUUUUUAAAGCAUCCUCUCUCGCCUCUCAUGACUUUUGAAUGCAAAAGCUUCCAAAAGUCGCUUAUGCCAAAGUGAUUUUGCUUGGAGACAUCGCGCGACAAAUGAAAUUACCGCGCGAAGCGUUAAAACGGACGCAGACGUUGAUUAAGCGCGCGGCAGAUACAGACGAGAACAGUUAAAUAAAAGGCGUUUGGCUCUGCAUGCCGUACGCGUAUGUUGAGAUAUCGCGGUGAAGCGCAAAUAUUACAUCAGAAUCAAAAGCGACAGCGACGGAGCGAUUCCAAGCAAAUCGGCGCCUUGCUGGCAACCAUCACCGGCGCGACGAGUCAACAAACUCGUUGACUUUCUUACGUGCACCGCCACGUAGAGUGACCCGGUGACUCAUUGCGAGAUUACUCGCGUGAAUCUCGACCUCUCUCGCCCUUACGCCCUUCUCUCAUCAUCACCAUCGCGCAUCGAUGCAUCGGUGGGACACGUACGAGCCGCAAAUCAUCGCCGUAUACGGUGAUCAUCAUCGUCGGCACAGAUUAGAACAUAUAAGGCGUACUGCAGACUCAGCUUGAUAAAUUUCACCCAUAGCUUUUUCUCUCUUUUUUUUAUAGUCCAAAAUUAAUAUACUCCAAAAUUAUCUUACUAAAAAUACUAAAGAGCGCGAUUAACAUUAUUUAUUAACCGACGUUGACGAAACCAGCCAUAACCUGAUUAAAGCAGUUUGGUUGUAAGCGCGCCUGUGGUCUGUCGGCUAUUCGGCUAUUCCCGCAUCGCUAGGCGCAUUCCGCGAUCCUAAAAAAACCACUCGUUAGACCGGUCCUAGUUAAUUAAACGAAGACGCAUUAUUCGCCAGGAAGCGACGUGGUGUCUUUUUGCAGGAGGGGAUAUUUCCGCGGUAAUUCCAUUCGCGCACGCCGAGCGUGGCAGGCGAAUUCUUUUCAUCCGUUGCUUAAGCCAGCCAGCAAUCAUCCUUCAUCGCGGAUUAAUAAUCCGCGACUACCGCAAUCGAUCACGCCGAUCGCAAGGUGUGCUUUGGGAAUACAUUCGGGACGGCUGGAACUGGUCAAGUAUGAAAAUUUAACGCGACCGUGCGUGGGAAUCGCUCGUGUGGAAACCCACACGAAAAGGCGCUUUUCCCGUUUCGGCCAGCUGAUUAAUUUCGACGAUAUUUCUCCACGUAAUCGCGCUCUUUUCCCAGCGAUAUCACGCUACCAGAUAGAGAAACACGUGGCUGUAACACCGCGAGCUUUCUAAUUUUGUUAAACGCUACUCCUUUCCCCGCGCGGUCUACGUUAAAUUAUUAAUUAACGGGAGACGCCUGUUUUCGGAAAGGUAAUUAGCAAAUUGCCGGAGCGAGCUCGAAUCAACUUUGCUACGUAAAUCUCGCGCAUAAAUUUCUACGUGUGACUUAUAUAACGUGAAUAUUUCUUUCUAUCCAUGUCCGUCUGCCCGAUAGAAACACGUGAAAAAAUAAUUUUCAUAGCGGCUACAAGCCUUUCGCUCUUCGUUCGGACGAAACGGUCAUAAAAGUAAAACUCCGAAGUCUCACCUUAACGUCUUUAAUCAGCUAACUGGCUCGCAAGCUAACGCUGACAUUACUAGAAAGAUCGCUCGUUUGGAUUCCUCGUUUUCCUCGGAAACAACCGAGAUCUCAUAUCGUUCAACGGCUGAACGACUACUAAAAUCCGCCGCGCGUAUUUUUAUCUGCGACGCGCGUAUCGCGAAGGAAGCGCAAACUAUGCGCGAUUGAAAGGCGCUAAUCUCGAGCGCACGUAUCGUUUAGGUCGAGCAGUUUUAUGGAUCGAGAGCGUACGAAACAUGACGCGACGCAAAAAGGAGCGGAAAUCUCGUUUUCCAAUGCGAGUUUCCCUUUCCCGGUCGCAUCGUCCGUGUGCAGCGCAUCCGCGUUUCACGGCAGCGGUGAUGCGUGUCACAUGGCAUUCAGGGACCUCGUCGAUGGCGCUCUUGGUCAAUAACUCAUCCCGACCUACGGCAAUUAUAAAGGUCACCAUGUAAGACAUCUCGCGAUUACGGUGACAUACGAAGGAACGGCAGCAACGAGAGGAGAUCGCGAGGUGCAUUAAAAAAAAAAAAAAAGGAGUCGUUUCAUAACACUUUGCAUUAAACAUUAAACAAUAAAUAUAUUUAUUAAUUUAAUUUAAAUAUUAAAGCAUUUGAUAUUGAAUAUAUAUAAUAUUUUACGAUUAUUAAUUAUUGUAUCAAGAUAAACGCUUAUUUUGUCUACAAUUCCCAUUUUCUCGGCAAUAUCGAUCGUUUAUGCUCGCGAAAUUGUUCGACGAGUUUGCGGGCAACAUAAAGAUGAGGAGAAAAGCCACGAUUCGCUCAUGGGCAUGGGGCACCAUUAGAGGUUGCACGCACGUUGCGGCGCGUGUAGGUGAACCGGGUUACGGUGCGCCGCGCGGCCAGGAUAUUAUUUACGACCGCGUCAGCGUCACGGCGGACUCGGCUGAUUAAACGCGGUUUUCCGAACAGUUGUUCAUCGCGCGACCGAGAUUGAGCGACGUGCAUUACGGAAAAUGCCCCAGAAAAGAAACCGCGCGCGAUCCGUGCCCCGAAAACGAAUGAAUUUGCCAUUCCGCGCGAGCAAUCAUCCGAAUGAAUUUCCGUAGAGAAAAUAUUAACCCGAAAAAGCUUCAGUUAUUCGAAAAACGCCGCUGUCAGUAUACCCUUGCGCGAUUUAUCUACUGCUUGUUUUUUCUAACAAAAUGAAUAACGAUUGUUGAAAAGAGAAACUAUUUAUUCCAUCGUAAAUUGAAGAAUUUUUUCAGAAAUCAGCUGCAUGCAGAUUCAAUUUCUUUCGUUGUGCUUUUUAUUAGUCCUUAAUAUUCCUCUUUCUCUAUCGUUAUCUCUUCAUUAUUUCUUAUAUCUUCUUAUUUCUUAUAUCUUAUAUCUUCGAUGUCGAUCAAAAAUAUUUUUAGAAUAUAACUGUCUGUCAAAAAUUUGUAAAAUACCAAAUUGUUCUUCUCAGGAGAGAAAUUUUAUCAAAGAACCCAUUGAAAUAGAACUUUUUUUUCUUCACGAGAUCAUGAAGCGUCAAAUUAUUUACUUUCAGACACAUUCAGAUCAUUUCUCAAGACAGUUCGUCCAAGACGGAAAUCUCUGAAAAUAGUUUGACAAAGAAAGUUACAUGAGGCGAUUGCGCACGCGGGCGGAGCAUGAGAGGAAAUGAAACGAGAAGGCGGCUGUUCUUUUUUUCUUCGCACCGCUCAUGGACGCAUCGCGACGCGGCGUGAAGGUGCCAGGUCACGUAGCUAAUCAGCGUCGCUCAUUAUGCGGAACAGAGAAAAUUACGGUAACGUGGCUUACACGACUCACGGCGACACGGGGACCGCGCGCCGCAGUUGACCGACGCUCCGCGUCACCCCUUGCACCCCAUAGUCGUAACGCAAACUCGAAGACCCCCGACUGUGUUUACACCAUUCGUCUCCGCCGUGCGUACGUGCCCCGGCAUACCGAAGUGCAUUUAAAAUGACGUUGCUGCGAGAGGACGUAUCGGCCACCUUCCCGUGGGAGCGGUAUCGCGACGACUCCCCGACUCCCCUUCCUCCCGGUGCUACUAAUUUUUUUCCAUCGUCAUCAAGGGGGAAGGGAUUUCAACCUCCCGCGAUUUUUUUCGCCUUUGAGCGAGAAAGUACGGUUAAAAAUCAGGCGUGCAAUAGACGUGAGCACGAUCUUCGAUUUUGCUUUGAUUCAUCAGUAGUAUUGUAAUAUAACCAUCGUGUAAUAAUUUCCUAAAUGAUUUUGAUAGAUUUUUGAUUUGUCAACUCUAUUGUCACCACACGAGUCAUGUCGUAAUUAAUAUUCGAUAAAAUCAUGUUAUUAAUAAUUUGAAUUCAAAUAAUAAUCAGAGUGAAAAUCAAGAGCGAUGAAAUUCUGCCGGUCCUGUUGAUCGGAAUUUGCUAUUCCUACAUUUCAAUUUACGAGUACGAACAGAGCGAUGACAUGUAUGAAAUAAUACGCGUGCUUCUCGCAAAAUUUUGGUAUGACGAAAUACUCGACGAGUACAAAAUUAUAUUACACUAAUGUGGCACGUUUACAUGUUUUAGCAUAAUUCCAUAUGAAACACAACAAAUUCACACAUAAAAGCACUGUAAAAUCUAAAAAAAGCGCCGUUAAUUGUGCGACGAUCUCACAGAUUUAAUAAAUAUCUAAUAAGAAACAAAAAUAGUCUCCACUUUUCUACACACACCACAUGCCUCGGGACGCCUUCAACUCGUUCGCGAUCUGUCCGUCGCGUUUGUCGAGAUAACUCGCGCAGUGCAAUAUCCGGUCUGAUGACCCGCGGCACGUGUUAACAAAGUAGUUGUUACUUCGGCAAUAACGACCGACGUUGCGGCAAUAAUCCCGCGCGCCGCAACCGGGAAUUGGCAGUAAAUUUUUCGUCCCGGGCGAAAUGUACGCGGGAGCACAUCGCGUGUUUCACGGGGAUAGCGAAGAGCCGACACCCACCCUUUUAGCGGCGCUCGGUCCGCUCGCUCGCAGGCCGUAUCGCGCCAAGUCGUUUGAUCGUCGUAACGCAGUUCUUUUAUUCGCCCCGCGGCAUCGUUAGAUCAAAUUGUACGCGCCUGUCUUUUUACGAGUGGCCUGGGAGAAGCUCGCCGGGCGCAUUAAAUCGUCGCCGCGGUAGGUAGGUGGAAUACUUCCUUUCUCGAGGCGAAAUUCUCGGAUAUUUCAACCGAUUGCGUCAUUGUACGGGACAAAUUGUAUAACAAAUACGAGAUAGUAGUUACGUCAAAUGUAUUAAUAAGAUGUUCGUUGAAAAGAUUUUUUUUCACGAAAUGCCUGUUUCUUCAGCUUUCCUUUAUUAUCUCUAUUGUUGUUUCUUAUGUUACGUUGAAUUUUUAUUUUAUGUUUAAUUCAUUCUUGUUACAGAGUAACUUUGUCCGCGGUACGAUGCUCUGACAGUUUCGUAGGCUUUCGUCUAGAGGGGAACAUUAUGGCAAAGUACCUCACGAAUUCCCGAAUUACGCCCGUUUGCGAAAAUUUCCGUGGAACGAGCGCUUAACGUUGCCCCGAGGAUCACUUAAAACGCUUCUAGGCACGUUCGCCAUGAGUAAGUUGCCUUUGACGAAGCGAAAACAUUAACCCUCUGGGUAUCACGGGAUUUUUGGCAAAUCUCAUAAGAAAGGAUAAUGACCUCAUACUCGUCUCCGCGGUUAAAAAUUUCGUUAAACCUUUCGUGAAUGUUGAUUGAGGUAAUAAAAGUAACACUCGCAGGUGCAAGCUGGAAGCUAUAUAAUCGCAUCAGAAGAUUUCCGAAAAUCCAACGCUGCUCAGUACGAGUACGCAAAAUAAUUUUCGCCGAUAUAUCGUACUUGUUAAAAUUAAGAUCCGUCGAAUUGAAUUUGCGCGAAAGCAGCGCGAUUACCGCGAUCAAGAUUAUGAAUUUUGUGAGCAUGCAAUAUGGUAUGUGACAGCAAUAACGGGGAAUAUAAUUCAUAAAAGUUAAACCUCUCUCUUCCUUGCUCGCCCGCACAAAUCGUGCUGCACCCGUAAUGACGAAUCGUUAAACGCGCGCAUCGCCCUAAAAGUUUUCAACGUGCAUGACGGACUGAAGGGACAUAAGAAGAUACUCGUUCCGAGUCGGCUAUCUUGGGGGGAGGCAAGAGCAAACACAAAUAGCAGUAGGCCGACCGACAUUAAAUUUGCAUUUAUAUUGUGUUCCGUAAUUUAUGACACCGACUUAUCUCGUGCGGUGGAUGUACGUACUCUCGUAAUUGUUUUCCCCGCGUGUGUGUACAUGCGCAACGCUGCUGGAGCAAUUGAGCCGAA